rnacentral:rRNA from 1 species
CGUACAGGUCUCCGUAGGUGAACCUGCGGAGGGAUCAUUACACAAAUAUGAAGGCGGGCUCGAACCUCUCGGGGUUACAGCCUUGCUGAAUUAUUCACCCUUGUCUUUUGCGUACUUCUUGUUUCCUUGGUGGGUUCGCCCACCACUAGGACAAACAUAAACCUUUUGUAAUUGCAAUCAGCGUCAGUAACAAAUUAAUAAUUACAACUUUCAACAACGGAUCUCUUGGUUCUGGCAUCGAUGAAGAACGCAGCGAAAUGCGAUAAGUAGUGUGAAUUGCAGAAUUCAGUGAAUCAUCGAAUCUUUGAACGCACAUUGCGCCCUUUGGUAUUCCAAAGGGCAUGCCUGUUCGAGCGUCAUUUGUACCCUCAAGCUUUGCUUGGUGUUGGGCGUCUUGUCUCUAGCUUUGCUGGAGACUCGCCUUAAAGUAAUUGGCAGCCGGCCUACUGGUUUCGGAGCGCAGCACAAGUCGCACUCUCUAUCAGCAAAGGUCUAGCAUCCAUUAAGCCUUUUUUUCAACUUUUGACCUCGGAUCAGGUAGGGAUACCCGCUGAACUUAAGCAUAUC